GACAGAGGGUGCAAACGUUGUUCGGAAUUACUGGGCGUAAAGCGCGUGUAGGCUGCUCAGAAAGUCGGAUGUGAAAGCCCUGGGCUUAACCCAGGAAGUGCAUUCGAAGCUUCUGAGCUGGAGUCCUGGAGAGGAAGGCGGAAUUCUCGGUGUAGAGGUGAAAUUCGUAGAUAUCGAGAGGAACACCGGUGGCGAAGGCGGCCUUCUGGACAGUGACUGACGCUGAGACGCGAAAGCGUGGGGAGCAAACGGG
rnacentral:rRNA from 1 species